GAUGAAGAACGUAGCGAAAUGCGAUAAGUAGUGUGAAUUGCAGAAUUCAGUGAAUCAUCGAAUCUUUGAACGCAUAUUGCGCUCUUUGGUAUUCCGAAGAGCAUGCUUGUUUGAGUAUCAGUAAACACCUCAAAGACUUCAAUUUGUUUUGAAUGGCUUUGGACUUGAGCAAUCCCAACACCAGUCUUUACGAUCGGUGGAGGGUUGCUUGAAAUGCAGGUGCAGCUGGACAUUCUCCUGAGCUAAAAGCAUAUUUAUUUAGUCCCGUCAAACGGAUUAUUACUUUUGCUGCAGCUAACAUAAAGGGAGUUUGACCGUAUUGGCUGACUGAUGCAGGAUUUCACAAGGGUCGGCAACGAUUCUUGUAAAACUCGAUCUCAAAUCAAGUAAGACUACCCGCUGAACUUAAGCAUAUCAAUAAGCGGAGGA
rnacentral:misc_RNA from 1 species